CCGUGGAUGUGCCGGGGCCGCGGCCCUCCGGGAGCGGCGUUGUUUCUAAUUAAUGCCCGUGUGGUAGCCUAAUCUGUGUUACCGGGCUCUCUGGAGUAUUGUCGCAACAAAGGUAUAUUCUAGGGUUCAGUUAAUUAAAAAUUGCUUAUAAAUCUGCCUAGGUCCUGUGAUGCACUUAACUCGGCUGUUGUGGCCGUAGCACAGAAGAAACACCCAAUAUUUACGCGGUUACAGCGGUAGUUUGGCUAAUUUCCCGCAGAGCUCUUUUCUCUGCUGCCCCUCUUUUAUUUUAUAAUAAACUUACCCCUCUCCACUCCUGUUUUUUUUUUUCCUUUUUUUUUUUUUUUCAAGUACAUGUGGAAGUGUCUAAUAUGUGUUCUCUUUGGCCAUACACUUUUUAUAAACUCAGUAUCAGCCACGCACUUAAACACGUACUUGUGGUGAGGAUGUGUCUGAUUUGCUUAUAGUAAGGAAGUUCAAGAAAAACUUGAUGAAAAAUACCUGGUUCCUAUAUACAAGUGUGUUUAUUUUGGAGUUAAUUUCUUUUUGAGACUGAUAACAAUGGAGAAUGUCUCUCUCAACAAGCCAAAUUGAAAGAAGAUGAUACAGAAGCUGGAUUCAGUAUGGGAGAAUAAAUCUAGCCAUAGAGCUAGCUCUGGAGUUUCACACUGCAUUGCAAAGCAUGAUUGCCUGUGACUGUGGAAGUUGGUUUGAAGUCCUAGGAAUUUAAUUUCUUGACCAUCAACUUGUGUAGUCUAAAACCUUCAGUCUGAAGAAUGCACCAGAAGUACUUGUUUUGUUAUGUAGAGCUUUGAUUUCUGUAAACUGUAUAGAAUAAUUUAGUGAAAAAGCUGGACAGACACAGAGAAUGAAAGGGAUUGGAAGGGACCUUAAACAUCCCCUGGUCCCAGUCCCCUGCCGUGGGCAGAACACCUUCCCCUAGACCAGGGUGCUCAAGGCCUUGUACAGCCUGGCCUUGGGCACUUCCAGGGAUGGGGAAUUGCAACCUGUUCCAGCGUCUCACCAGCCUCACAGGGAGAAAGUUCUUGCUAAUAUCCAGUCUUUCUGUAAUGAUGCUGUCCUACCACUGCAGCUCCUGACAGAACAUCCUUCCUGCAGCCCCUCCAGACCCUGGAAGGUCUGCACACAGAAGAACCUUCUCUUGUCCAGGCUGAGCAGUCCCAGCUUUCUCAGCUGGUCUUCACAGGGGGCAGGCCCCACUCCUCUGGGCUUGCUGCAACAGCUCCAUGUCCUUCUUGUGCUGGGAGCACCAGAGCUGGAUGCAGCACUGCCAGAUGUGUCUCACGAGAGCAGAGUAGUGGGGGAGAAUCACCUCCUUUGACCUUCCAGCCAUGCUCCUCUGGAUGCAGCUCAGGAUUCCCUUGGCUUUCUGGCUGUGAGCACUCGCUGCUGGCUCCUGCUGAGUGUUUGAUCAACCACCACCCCCAAGACAGAAUAAUUUUGUGAAAAUGCUGAUGUUCUCAGGGACAACCUGGUUGACUUGGAAAUGCUGAUUCUCUUAAAGAUUUGAUGACUCCUUCAAUGUGUGCAAAAGCAAGCAAACGAACCCCCUGAUGGUAUUGAACAGUGCAGUUAGCAGAACAGGCUUGUGGUCUUGUGGGACUUCUCAUUGUCUCCUUGAAAAACAUAAUAUUGGUGUACAAGGCUGUAGUUAACUAUGUUUGUUGGAUAAAUUUAGUUGUCACAAGCUGCAUUUAAUCCUUUGCAGAGCAAUUGAGAAAACAGUAAUUUUAGGACCAAAGCUCACUGGCUCACUCUGCUUUUAGUAGAGCUGCUGCAAUUAAAAUUUAGCAAGCCUUUAAUAAGAAUUAAUUUGGGAGGGGACACACACACUGUACAUACCCAUUUAUUGGUGAGAUUUAUACUUCUGCAUUCUAUGCAAAUAAUAGGUCUUAGCUUUUCCGUUUACAUGCUGUUAAUCCAGCCUGUAGCUUAAAACUCUUCUUUUUAACAGCUCCAUUAAGAAAUUAAGGGAGGACUUACUUGGGCAAGGAAAUCCAAAAUUAAUCUUGCAUGGGUAUCUGGUGAUCUAGUAGAUACUUUCUUUCUGAAAUUCAGAACUUUUAUGAACCAAUUUCUGGCCUCUCUUCAUUUCCAUUAAACCUGGUCGUGCAAUUUAA